rnacentral:rRNA from 1 species
GAUGAACGCUGGCGGCGUGCCUAAUACAUGCAAGUCGAGCGAACAGACUAGGAGCUUGCUCCUCUGACGUUAGCGGCGGACGGGUGAGUAACACGUGGACAACCUACCUAUAAGACUGGGAUAACUUCGGGAAACCGGAGCUAAUACCGGAUAAUAUAUUGAACCGCAUGGUUCAAUAAUGAAAGACGGUUUUGCUGUCACUUAUAGAUGGAUCCGCGCCGCAUUAGCUAGUUGGUAAGGUAACGGCUUACCAAGGCAACGAUGCGUAACCGACCUGAGAGGGUGAUCGGCAACACUGGAACUGAGACACGGUCCAGACUCCUAGGGGAGGCAGCAGUAGGGAAUCUUCCGCAAUGGGCGAAAGCUUGACGGGGCAACGCCGCGUGAGUGAUGAAGGUCUUCGGAUCGUAAACCUCUGUUAUUAGGGAAGAACAAAUGUGUACGUAACUAUGCGCGUCUUGACGGUACCUAAUCAGAAAGCCACGGCUAACUACGUG